AUACGUAGGUGGCGAGCGUUGUCCGGAAUUACUGGGUGUAAAGGGAGCGUAGGCGGGUCGGCAAGUCAGUGGUGAAAUACAUGGGCUUAACCCAUGAAUUGCCAUUGAAACUGCCGGUCUUGAGUGGAUCAGAGGCAAGCGGAAUUCCGAGUGUAGCGGUGAAAUGCGUAGAUAUUCGGAGGAACACCAGUGGCGAAGGCGGCUUGCUGGGGUCUAACUGACGCUGAGGCUCGAAAGUGUGGGGAGCAAACAGGAUUAGAUACCCUGGUAGUCCACACUGUAAACGAUGAUUACUAGGUGUGGGGGGUCUGACCCCCUCCGUGCCGGAGUUAACGCAAUAAGUAAUCCACCUGGGGAGUACGGCCGCAAGGUUGAA
rnacentral:rRNA from 1 species